rnacentral:rRNA from 1 species
GAUGAACGCUGGCGGCGUGCCUAAUACAUGCAAGUCGAGCGAACAGACGAGGAGCUUGCUCCUCGGACGUUAGCGGCGGACGGGUGGGUAACACGUGGAUAACCUACCUAUAAUACUGGGAUAACUUCGGGAAGCCGGAGCUAAUACCGGAUAAUAUAUUGAACCGCAUGGUUCAUUAGUGAAAGACGGUUUUGCUGUCACUUAUAGAUGGAUCCGCGCCGCAUUAGCUAGUUGGUAAGGUAACGGCAUACCAAGGCGACGAUGCGUAGCCGACCUGAGAGGGUGAUCGGCCACACUGGAACUGAGACACGGUCCAGACUCCUACGGGAGGCAGCAGUAGGGAAUCUUCCGCAAUGGGCGAAAGCCUGACGGAGCAACGCCGCGUGAGUGAUGAAGGUCUUCGGAUCGUAAAACUCUGUUAUUAGGGAAGAACAAAUGUGUAAGUAACUAUGCACGUCUUGACGGUACCUAAUCAGAAAGCCACGGCUAACUACGUG